UACAGAGGUCUCAAGCGUUGUUCGGAUUCAUUGGGCGUAAAGGGUGCGUAGGUGGCAGGGUAAGUCCAGGGUGUCGAAAUCUCGGGGCUCAACCCCGAAACUGCACUUGAUACUGCCUUGCUUGAGUACUGGAGAGGAGAUUGGAAUUUACGGUGUAGCAGUGAAAUGCGUAGAUAUCGUAAGGAAGACCAGUGGCGAAGG
rnacentral:rRNA from 1 species